AGAGUUUGAUCCUGGCUCAGGAUGAACGCUAGCGGGAGGCCUAACACAUGCAAGCCGAGCGGUAUUGUUUCUUCGGAAACGAGAGAGCGGCGCACGGGUGCGGAACACGUGUGCAACCUGCCUUUAUCUGGGGGAUAGCCUUUCGAAAGGAAGAUUAAUACCCCAUAAUAUUUUGAAUGGCAUCAUUUAAAAUUGAAAACUCCGGUGGAUAGAGAUGGGCACGCGCAAGAUUAGAUAGUUGGUAGGGUAACGGCCUACCAAGUCAGUGAUCUUUAGGGGGCCUGAGAGGGUGAUCCCCCACACUAGUACUGAGACACGGACCAGACUCCUACGGGAGGCAGCAGUGAGGAAUAUUGGACAAUGGGUGAGAGCCUGAUCCAGCCAUCCCGCGUGAAGGACGACGGCCCUAUGGGUUGUAAACUUCUUUUGUACAGGGAUAAACCUAUUUACGUGUAAAUAGCUGAAGGUACUGUACGAAUAAGCACCGGCUAACUCCGUGCCAGCAGCCGCGGUAAUACGGAGGGUGCAAGCGUUAUCCGGAUUUAUUGGGUUUAAAGGGUCCGUAGGCGGAUCCGUAAGUCAGUGGUGAAAUCUCAUAGCUUAACUAUGAAACUGCCAUUGAUACUGCGGGUCUUGAGUAAGGUAGAAGUAGCUGGAAUAAGUAGUGUAGCGGUGAAAUGCAUAGAUAUUACUUAGAACACCAAUUGCGAAGGCAGGUUACUAUGUCUUAACUGACGCUGAUGGACGAAAGCGUGGGGAGCGAACAGGAUUAGAUACCCUGGUAGUCCACGCCGUAAACGAUGCUAACUCGUUUUUGGGCUUUCGGGUUCAGAGACUAAGCGAAAGUGAUAAGUUAGCCACCUGGGGAGUACGAACGCAAGUUUGAAACUCAAAGGAAUUGACGG
rnacentral:rRNA from 1 species